rnacentral:lncRNA from 1 species
AAGCAAUCAGACUUCCAAGCAAGCAACCUGGAUCGAAGGUUCGACUUCGGUGUCCGGUUGAUUAUUCUCCUUCUCUUUGUGUCGUAAACAGCAACAAGGAUAAGGAGAAGCAAAUGGAGAAAAGAUGAUAUGAGAUACUUUUGCUUUUGAAGAAAUAACUUUCCACAGGCUUAUUCUUGAACUGGGCUGAAAGGUUUUCUAG